GACCCGAAACCCGGUGAUCUAGCCAUGGGCAGGUUGAAGGUUGGGUAACACUAACUGGAGGACCGAACCGACUAAUGUUGAAAAAUUAGCGGAUGACCUGUGGCUGGGGGUGAAAGGCCAAUCAAACCGGGAGAUAGCUGGUUCUCCCCGAAAGCUAUUUAGGUAGCGCCUCGUGAAUUCAUCUCCGGGGGUAGAGCACUGUUUCGGCUAGGGGGCCAUCCCGGCUUACCAACCCGAUGCAAACUGCGAAUACCGGAGAAUGUUAUCACGGGAGACACACGGCGGGUGCUAACGUCCGUCGUGAAGAGGGAAACAACCCAGACCGCCAGCUAAGGUCCCAAAGUCAUGGUUAAG
rnacentral:rRNA from 1 species